CGACCCACAUGGCUUUACAGAAGACCACUUUCAAGCUAACCCAUCAGUCACAUACAAGGAGCCUCAAUCGCAUGUUAAAGGUGUGUGCAUGGAUCUCCGGAGUUUAUUACAAUAUGCAGUGUGACUGCAGAGUCUGUCCUGAGUGCUUCCUGAGAGUCUGUGUUUCUCAUAAAUAAUAUGCUGUGGGUUUGCAGAGGUUGUCACCUGUGAACAGUGAGGUUUUAGGAAUCAACAUGGAGUCACAGAGGAAAUCCCGGAGGAUUAGACUUUCCUGCUGAAGAUAAAGGGAAGGAAAUCCUAACCAAGACGAGCAAGAAAGGAUUGUGCAAUUUGCUAGAAUUCAAUGAAGAGACAUGGUUGGGAGAAGUCUGUCGCAGGCAGGAGGAUCACUUUGGCAUGGCCUCCGGUAACUGGAGUCUGCAGCCUCAGAUGAGCAUGUGCCAGGAAGCUGCACCAACGUCUCUCCUCCCGUGGCAAGAGCAAAGCGUUCACCUCCCCGGGGAACAAGCCAGCACGUCAGGGCGCCUGCUCAGCAGAGCUCCGGAACCCCAGGCUUGUUCCCUGGUUUCCAUGCCUCUUGCCUUCCCCGGCUUU